UAUGGUCAAAUCACUCUGAAAAUACCGAUUCGCGUUCGAUCACCAAAGUUAAGCAAUGUCGAACACGGUUAGUAUUUAGAUGGGGGACCGGUUGGAACACCUGGUACUGUAAGC